rnacentral:rRNA from 1 species
GACGAACGCUGGCGGCGUGCCUAAUACAUGCAAGUAGAACGCUGAAGCGAGGAGCUUACUCUUCUUGGAUGAGUUGCGAACGGGUGAGUAACGCGUAGGUAACCUGCCUUGUAGCGGGGGAUAACUAUUGGAAACGAUAGCUAAUACCGCAUAACAAUGGAUGCCACAUGUCAUUUAUUUGAAAGGGGCAAUUGCUCCACUACAAGAUGGACCUGCGUUGUAUUAGCUAGUAGGUGAGGUAAUGGCUCACCUAGGCGACGAUACAUAGCCGACCUGAGAGGGUGAUCGGCCACACUGGGACUGAGACACGGCCCAGACUCCUACGGGAGGCAGCAGAAGGGAAUCUUCGGCAAUGGGGGCAACCCUGACCGAGCAACGCCGCGAGAGUGAAGAAGGUUUUCGGAUCGUGAAGCUCUGUUGUAAGUCAAGAACGGGUGUGAGAGUGGAAAGUUCACACUGUGACGGUAGCUUACCAGAAAGGGACGGCUAACUACGUG